UACGGAGGGAGCUAGCGUUGUUCGGAAUUACUGGGCGUAAAGCGUGCGCAGGCGGUGAUGUAAGACAGCUGUGAAAUCCCCGGGCUCAACCUGGGAACUGCAUCUGUGACUGCAUCGCUGGAGUACGGUAGAGGGGGAUGGAAUUCCGCGUGUAGCAGUGAAAUGCGUAGAUAUGCGGAGGAACACCGAUGGCGAAGGCAAUCCCCUGGACCUGUACUGACGCUCAUGCACGAAAGCGUGGGGAGCAAACAGG
rnacentral:rRNA from 1 species